rnacentral:rRNA from 1 species
UAGGGAAUCUUCCGCAAUGGACGAAAGUCUGACGGAGCAACGCCGCGUGAGUGAUGAAGGUUUUCGGAUUGUAAAGCUCUGUUGUUAGGGAAGAACAAGUACCGUUCGAAUAGGGCGGUACCUUGACGGUACCUAACCAGAAAGCCACGGCUAACUACGUGCCCGCAGCCGCGGUAAUACGUAGGUGGCAAGCGUUGUCCGGAAUUAUUGGGCGUAAAGGGCUCGCAGGCGGUUUCUUAAGUCGGAGGUGAAAGCCCCCGGCUCAACCGGGGAGGGUCAUUGGAAACUGGGGAACUUGAGUGCAGAAGAGGAGAGGGGAAUUCCACGUGUAGCGGUGAAAUGCGUAGAGAUGUGGAGGAACACCAGUGGCGAAGGCGACUCUCUGGUCUGUAACUGACGCUGAGGAGCGAAAGCGUGGGGAGCGAACA